UAUCACUAGCAAAAUUGCUGUUUUAUAGAAAUUAUGUUAAGAUAAUUUUCUAAGCUGUAUAUCUGGUCGACUGACAGAUUUCUGGACGCGGGUUCAACUCCCGCCGUCUCCACCAAUAGGGCAUUUCCCCGUGCAGGUUUAGGCAUGGCGAUGUUACUUUAGAGUGUCUUAUUGAUGGGGACGUAUUGGUUUCGACAGGGAUAAAUAGGAAGAUUGGCAGCCGGUAGGCGAUGACCGUAAAUCAAGCAAUGUUAUAACUGCAAAUGACGAAAAAUUUGCUUUAGCCGCCUAAUUAACAGGCCGCUAGGAGAGUGAUUCACUUGGCAACAGAACGAAUCAAGGCAGCUUCGGCUGCCUUUUUA
rnacentral:tmRNA from 1 species